rnacentral:rRNA from 1 species
UACAGAGGUCCCAAGCGUUACUGAGAAUCACUGGGUUUAAAGGGCGCGUAGGCGGUAUCAUAAGUCAGAUGUGAAAGCCCCGGGCUUAACCUGGGAUGUGCAUUUGAAACUGUGGAACUAGAGAUCGAGAGAGGAAAGUGGAAUUACGAGUGUAGAGGUGAAAUUCGUAGAUAUUACGUAAGAACACCAGUGGCGAAGGCGACUUUCUGGCUCGAUACUGACGCUAAGGCGCGAAAAGCGUGGGGAGCAAACAGA